GCGAUCAUAUCAGCACUAAUGCACCGGAUCCCAUUAGAACUCCGCAGUUAAGCGUGCUUGGGCGAGAGUAGUACUAGGAUGGGUGACCUCCUGGGAAGUCCUCGUGUUGCACCCC
rnacentral:rRNA from 1 species